GACGAACGCUGGCGGCGUGCUUAACACAUGCAAGUCGAACGGAAAGGCCCUGCUUUUGUGGGGUGCUCGAGUGGCGAACGGGUGAGUAACACGUGAGUAACCUGCCCUUGACCUUGGGAUAACUUCAGGAAACUGGGGCUAAUACCGGAUAGGAGCCCCUGCUGCAUGGUGGGGGUUGGAAAGUUUCGGCGGUUGGGGAUGGACUCGCGGCUUAUCAGCUUGUUGGUGGGGUAGUGGCUUACCAAGGCUUUGACGGGUAGCCGGCCUGAGAGGGUGACCGGCCACAUUGGGACUGAGAUACGGCCCAGACUCCUACGGGAGGCAGCAGUGGGGAAUAUUGCACAAUGGGCGGAAGCCUGAUGCAGCAACGCCGCGUGCGGGAUGACGGCCUUCGGGUUGUAAACCGCUUUCGCCUGUGACGAAGCGUGAGUGACGGUAAUGGGUAAAGAAGCACCGGCUAACUACGUG
rnacentral:rRNA from 1 species